GACGAACGCUGGCGGCGUGCCUAAUACAUGCAAGUAGAACGCUGAAGGAGGAGCUUGCUUCUCUGGAUGAGUUGCGAACGGGUGAGUAACGCGUAGGUAACCUGCCUGGUAGCGGGGGAUAACUAUUGGAAACGAUAGCUAAUACCGCAUAAGAGUAGAUGUUGCAUGACAUUUGCUUAAAAGGUGCACUUGCAUCACUACCAGAUGGACCUGCGUUGUAUUAGCUAGUUGGUGAGGUAACGGCUCACCAAGGCGACGAUACAUAGCCGACCUGAGAGGGUGAUCGGCCACACUGGGACUGAGACACGGCCCAGACUCCUACGGGAGGCAGCAGUAGGGAAU
rnacentral:rRNA from 1 species